rnacentral:rRNA from 1 species
GUAGGUGAACCUGCGGAAGGAUCAUUGUCGAUACCUGCCCAGCAGAUAGACCCGUGAACAUGUUUACAUCACAUGAUUGAGGGGAAGGGUGUYGGGGGUGUUAGCCCCCCUCGCCCCGACCCUUCCAAGGUCGGUUUGCGGGUAUCUGCCGCAUCCGAUCAAACAAAACCACCGGUGCGGUCGGCGCCAAGGAACAACAAACAACGGAGUGGGCGUGCCAUCCCACCCUCAGGUGGGGUGUGCAUCGUCGCGAAUCCGAAUCUCAAUAAUGACUCUCGGCAACGGAUAUCUCGGCUCUYGCAUCGAUGAAGAACGUAGCGAAAUGCGAUACUUGGUGUGAAUUGCAGAAUCCCGUGAACCAUCGAGUCUUUGAACGCAACUUGCGCCCUAGGCCAUCGGGCCGAGGGCACGCCUGCCUGGGCGUCACACAUUGCGUCGCCCGCACCAAGUCGCCCUUGUGGUUUCUUGGAGUGGAGCGGAGUAUGGCCCCCCGUGCCCCUUGUGAGGUGCGGUCGGCCCAAAGGCAAGGCCCCCUGUGUGGUGAGCGUCACGACGAGUGGUGGUUUGGAGCCACAAUUUUGGAUGUCGUGCGUGCUUUGCCCACCUCGCUUGGGCUUUGGUGAAACCCUGAUCACGUGUUGUCUUAUGAACGACACUCGGACCGCGACCCCAGGUCAGGCGGGGCUACCCGCUGAG